rnacentral:rRNA from 1 species
GAUCAAGCGACUAAGUGCAUCUGGUGGAUGCCUUGGCGAUCAUAGGCGAUGAAGGACGUGUAAGCCUGCGAAAAGCGCGGGGGAGCUGGCAAUAGAGCAUUGAUCCCGCGAUGUCCGAAUGGGGAAACCCACCUCUUUUGAGGUAUCCCUGGCUGAAUCCAUAGGCCAGCGGAGGCGAACCCGGCGAACUGAAACAUCUAAGUAGCCGGAGGAAAAGAAAUCAACCGAGAUUCCGCAAGUAGUGGCGAGCGAACGCGGAAGAGCCUGUACGUGAUAGCAGUCGUGUUAGAAGAACGGUCUGGAAAGGCCGGCCAUAGUGGGUGAUAGCCCCGUAUUCGAAAACACAAUUGUGGUACUGAGCGUACGAGAAGUAGGGCGGGACACGUGAAAUCCUGUCUGAAGAUGGGGGGACCAUCCUCCAAGGCUAAAUACUCAUGAUCGACCGAUAGUGAACCAGUACCGUGAGGGAAAGGCGAAAAGAACCCCGGGAGGGGAGUGAAACAGAACCUGAAACCGGAUGCAUACAAACAGUGGGAGCCUGGAAACGGGUGACUGCGUACCUUUUGUAUAAUGGGUCAGCGACUUACAUUCAGUAGCGAGCUUAACCAGAUAGGGGAGGCGUAGCGAAAGCGAGUCCGAACAGGGCGUUGAGUUGCUGGGUGUAGACCCGAAACCGGAUGAUCUAUCCAUGGCCAGGAUGAAGGUGCGGUAACACGCACUGGAGGUCCGAACCCACGUCUGUUGCAAAAGACGGGGAUGAGCUGUGGAUAGGGGUGAAAGGCUAAACAAAUCCGGAAAUAGCUGGUUCUCUCCGAAAACUAUUUAGGUAGUGCCUCGAGAUUACACUGACGGGGGUAGAGCACUGUUAUGGCUAGGGGGUCAUUGCGAUUUACCAACCCAUGGCAAACUCCGAAUACCGUCAAGUGCGUCCUCGGGAGACAGACAGCGGGUGCUAACGUCCGUUGUCAAGAGGGAAACAACCCAGACCGCCAGCUAAGGUCCCAAAUGACAUGCUAAGUGGUAAACGAAGUGGGAAGGCCAAGACAGCCAGGAUGUUGGCUUAGAAGCAGCCAUCAUUCAAAGAAAGCGUAAUAGCUCACUGGUCGAGUCGUCCUGCGCGGAAGAUGUAACGGGGCUCAAGCAUGUAACCGAAGCUGCGGAUGCGUACUUGUACGCAUGGUAGGAGAGCGUUCUGUAGGCCUGCGAAGGUGGUGGUGUAAACCCUGCUGGAGGUAUCAGAAGUGCGAAUGCUGACAUGAGUAGCGAUAAAGCGGGUGAAAGUCCCGCUCGCCGAAAACCCAAGGUUUCCUACGCAACGUUCAUCGGCGUAGGGUGAGUCGGCCCCUAAGGCGAGGCAGAAAUGCGUAGUCGAUGGGAAACGGGUCAAGAUUCCCGUACCGGUUGUGAAUGCGAUGGGGGGACGGAGAAGGGUAGCUCAGCGGCCUGUUGGAAUAGGUCGUUUAAGCGUGUAGGAGUGGUCUCCUGGCAAAUCCGGAGAUCUUAUCUGAGGCGUGAUGACGAGGGUCUACGGACCUGAAGUGAGUAAUCCCAAGCUUCCAGGAAAAGCCUCUAAGCUUCAGUUCACAACUGACCGUACCGCAAACCGACACAGGUGGGUAGGUAGAGAAUACCAAGGCGCUUGAGAGAACUCGGGUUAAGGAACUCGGCAAAUUGACACCGUAACUUCGGGAGAAGGUGUGCCCCGGUAGCGUGUAGGACUUCGCGUCCGAAGCGUGAUGGGGUCGCAGAGAAUAGGUGGCUGCGACUGUUUAAUAAAAACACAGCUCUGUGCCAACACGAAAGUGGACGUAUACGGAGUGACGCCUGCCCGGUGCCGGAAGGUUAAGUGAUGGGGUGCAAGCUCUUGAUCGAAGCCCCGGUAAACGGCGGCCGUAACUAUAACGGUCCUAAGGUAGCGAAAUUCCUUGUCGGGUAAGUUCCGACCCGCACGAAUGGCGUAACGAUGGCCACACUGUCUCAACCCGAGACUCAGCGAAGUUGAAAUGUUUGUGAAGAUGCAAUCUCCCCGCUGCUAGACGGAAAGACCCCGUGAACCUUUACUGUAGCUUUGCAUUGGACUUUGAACAGGCUUGUGUAGGAUAGGUGGGAGGCUUUGAAGCUGAGACGCUAGUUUCAGUGGAGCCGUCCUUGAAAUACCACCCUGGUGUGUUUGAGGUUCUAAC